CGAUAGUGUAUUUUAAUGUUGUUGCUGUUAAAAAGCUCGUAGUUGAAUUUCUGGUUUUUCGGCAAUCCUCCGGGAGCGCCGUGAGAUCAUCCACCCUGAAAGCUCGUAUGCCGAAUAAGCUGCGUGUCGAAGGGGUAUUUUACUUUGAAGAAAUUAGAGUGUUCCAGGCAAGCUAAUGCUUGAAUAUUACAGCAUGGAAUAAUGGAAUAGGACUGUCCAUUGGUUGGAUCAGUAAUGAUUAGCAGGAACAGUUGGGGGCACUAGUAUUACAUGGUUAGCGGUAAAAUGUGUUGACCCAUGUAGGACUAACAAAAGCGAAGGCAUUUGCCAAGAAUGUUUNCAUUAA
rnacentral:rRNA from 1 species